rnacentral:rRNA from 1 species
GGAGGGUGCAAGCGUUAAUCGGAAUUACUGGGCGUAAAGCGUGCGUAGGCGGCUGAUUAAGUCAGAUGUGAAAGCCCCGGGCUUAACCUGGGAACUGCAUCUGAUACUGGUCAGCUAGAAUGUGGGAGAGGAGAGUGGAAUUUCCGGUGUAGCGGUGAAAUGCAUAGAGAUCGGAAGGAACACCAGUGGCGAAGGCGGCUCUCUGGACCAACAUUGACGCUGAGGCACGAAAGCGUGGGUAGCAAACAGGAUUAGAUACCCUGGUAGUCCACGCCGUAAACGAUGUCAACUAGCCGCCGGCCCCACUCUAGGGGUCGGUGGUGCAGCUAACGCAUUAAGUUGACCGCCUGGGGAGUACGGCCGCAAGGUUG